CCAUAUUCGGUUUCGCCGAGAAUCGUGAACACGUACGCCGGAAGCAAUGCGGGGUAAUUAUUUGAUUUAUUUCAUAAUAUUAUUUAACAUAUAUCGUGAAAAGUUCUGAAUAUUCGGAUUCUUCUGUUAUCGUUUCAUCGUGUGUUAGCAUUAUCAGCUCUCGGUAUCGAAUUGACAAACAGAAUUUUUCUCAUAGAAAUUCGAUAGUUUACAUUUCACGGGCCCCGUGUUGCACCCGCAUUGCUUUCGUUCCUGUUUCCAACGUAUAAGUGUAGCGUCAGUGAUUCGCGUGACGCGACGUAACCUUCAACGUUUGUUUUUCUCGGUUUAUGCGUUGUGUGUUCGUUUGAAUGAAAAUGUCGCGAGUGUUGUAACAAAAACCACGGAAAACAGAAGAAGAAUACGGGAGCAAAAGGAAUUCCAGGCUACAGCAGAAUGCCCAUUACCCAACAGGGUUUCGUUCCAUGGUAUUUCAACGAGGCCACUGCAAUGAGAAAGGAAUUCCUGAAGCCAAAAAAAAUGAUACAUCCAAAUAGCAGAAAGUCUAUCGCUAUUACGAAAAAAGCCAAAAAAAUAUCAAAUAGACAGAAGGCAGAAAUGUCCCGCUUGAUAAAACAGAAUUCAAUAGGAGAGAAAAUAUCAUGGAUCAGAAACAAUAUGAUUCCAGGCGUGUGUCCCUAUACUCCAGAGUUAACUGCAAGUUUGUUAGAAACGGAGGUAUGUAGCAAGAAAUGAUGAAGCAAUGGAAGAAAUUACUAUUAAAAGAUCUAUAGGUAGCAACAGGAGUAGACAGCAUGCUAGGAGGGAACAUAUAAUUAGAGUAGAAAGAACUAGGAGAAUAUCAUACACGUGGAAUAGAAAUUUCUGAUAUUUUAAAUGCAACUCAGUGUGAAAUGUUAUUGAAUUGGAAUAAUGAAUUACAGUGUGUGAAUAAUUCUAAAUUUAUAAGGUUUGGCGAGAAAGAUUUAAAGAAAGUAUUAGAGCUAAGACAAAGAAUGAAAAUAAGCCAUAUUAGACUAUUCAAAUCUCUGUUAGCUAUGCCUGUAAACAAGAAGAAUUUAUUAAAUUACUAUUAUAUGAUACCGAGGGGAACUUUGAUGUAUUAGAAGGAUGCUGUGAAAUUCGAAAGGACGGGAUGAAAGUCAAGAGGACACCAUGGUGAUUAACGAUAAAUUUGAUAACUUUUCGUCGAAAUGUGAUAAUAUUUGUUCACUUUUAGAUUAACUCCAUUUCUUAUAAAUAUUUCGUGAUAUUAUCGUAAUUAAUAUCUAAUAUAACAAAUUCUAAAUUCACGGUUUAUUAGAACACCAAGAUGAAAAAUGCAAGAUUAAAGAAAUUAUUUUUUUCUUUCGAAUAUAUUAAAUUAUAUUUCCGAAGAAAUUGAAUAGAUUGUUUAACAUAAAUUUAACAUAGAUUCUCUCGAUUCUGUUUCAUUUGAGUAAGAAAUUCAAAUAACUUUCUCAUUUUGCUUCAUUAUUCGUAAAUUGUCUGUAAUAUAAUAUGGACUAUUAAUUUCGUUUUUCUCAAUAACUUUUAUUACAUUUGAGAAAUUACGUUAUCACAGACUAGUUAAAACAGUUUCUGCAUAUCGCGUUAUUUUCGUAUUGCGCAGCUUUGUUUAACGGGCAGAAAAAGUGCGCCAUGUUGCAUUAGAACGAAGUCAAGUAAUGCAUAAAAUAUUUGAAAUUAUAAUGGCGGACAUUCUAUUUGGCGGAUAACUUUUACAAAUCAAUCGUAUUAUGCAAUAUUCAUACAUAUAUUUGACAAUAAUAAAAAAUACUUUGAAAAUAUUUUAAAUAUACUAACGAUAUAUUUUCUUUCGCAUUUUUGGUAUAAUAUUUAUGUGUAUAUUUUCGUGCUCUUGAUAUGAUAUAUGAUUCUACCUAUGGUAAAUAAAUAAUAAUUAAUUCGUAGUUCUAAGAAA